GUCGAGGAUCUUCUGCAAUGGGCGCAAGCCUGACAGAGCGACGCCGCGUGAGGGAGGAAGGCCUUCGGGUUGUAAACCUCUGUUGCCGGUUAAGAAUGGUGGGGCGCAAACAGCGUUCUCACUUGACAAAGGCCGGUGAGGAAGCCACGGCUAACUACGUGCCAGCAGCCGCGGUAAGACGUAGGUGGCAAGCGUUGUUCGGAAUCACUGGGCAUAAAGAGCACGUAGGCGGCUAGGUCAGUCGGAUGUGAAAUACCUCGGCUUAACCGAGGAACUGCGUCCGAUACUGCCUGGCUUGAGGUCCGGAGGGGAGAGUGGAAUUCCCGGUGGAGCGGUGAAAUGCGUAGAGAUCGGGAAGAACGCCGGCGGCGAAAGCGACUCUCUGGUCGGAAUCUGACGCUGAGGUGCGAAAGCUAGGGGAGCAAACGGGAUUAGAAACCCCUGUAGUCC
rnacentral:rRNA from 1 species